rnacentral:rRNA from 1 species
UGAGGAAUAUUGGUCAAUGGGCGAGAGCCUGAACCAGCCAAGUAGCGUGCAGGAUGACGGCCCUAUGGGUUGUAAACUGCUUUUAUAUGGGAAUAAAGUGAGGGACGUGUCCCUUAUUGCAUGUACCAUACGAAUAAGGACCGGCUAAUUCCGUGCCAGCAGCCGCGGUAAUACGGAAGGUCCAGGCGUUCUCCGGAUUUAUUGGGUUUAAAGGGAGCGUAGGCUGUUUGUUAAGCGUGUUGUGAAAUGUAAGAGCUCAACUUUUAGAUUGCAGCGCGAACUGGCAGACUUGAGUGCGCACAACGUAGGCGGAAUUCAUGGUGUAGCGGUGAAAUGCUUAGAUAUCAUGACGAACUCCGAUUGCGAAGGCAGCUUACGGGAGCGCAACUGACGCUAAAGCUCGAAGGUGCGGGUAUCGAACAGG